rnacentral:rRNA from 1 species
UACGUAGGGAGCAAGCGUUGUCCGGAAUCAUUGGGCGUAAAGCGCGCGUAGGCGGCCCCGUAAGUCCGCUGUGAAAGUCAAAGGCUCAACCUUUGAAAGCCGGUGGAUACUGUGGGGCUAGAGUACGGGAAGAGGCGAGUGGAAUUCCUGGUGUAGCGGUGGAAUGCGCAGAUAUCAGGAGGAACACCAAUAGCGAAGGCAGCUCGCUGGGACGUUACUGACGCUGAGGCGCGAAAGCGUGGGGAGCGAACAGG